rnacentral:rRNA from 1 species
GAUGAACGCUAGCGGGAGGCUUAAUACAUGCAAGUCGAACGGUAAGGCUCCGCUUGCGGAGUACACGAGUGGCGAACGGGUGAGUAACGCGUACGCAAUCUGCCCUUAACUGGAGGAUAGCCCCAAGAAAUUGGGAUUAAUACUCCAUAGUAUUCACUAUAGAUAACUUAUGUGAAUUAAAGCUCAGGCGGUUAAGGAUGAGCGUGCGUCCUAUUAGUUUGUUGGUGAGGUAACGGCUCACCAAGACUACGAUAGGUAGCUGGCGUGAGAGCGUGGCCAGCCACACGGGCACUGAGACACGGGCCCG